GAUGAACGCUGGCGGCGUGCCUAAUACAUGCAAGUCGAGCGAAUGGAUUAAGAGCUUGCUCUUAUGAAGUUAGCGGCGGACGGGUGAGUAACACGUGGGUAACCUGCCCAUAAGACUGGGAUAACUCCGGGAAACCGGGGCUAAUACCGGAUAACAUUUUGAACCGCAUGGUUCGAAAUUGAAAGGCGGCUUCGGCUGUCACUUAUGGAUGGACCCGCGUCGCAUUAGCUAGUUGGUGAGGUAACGGCUCACCAAGGCAACGAUGCGUAGCCGACCUGAGAGGGUGAUCGGCCACACUGAGACUGAGACACGGCCCAGACUCCUACGGGAGGCAGCAGUAGGGAAUCUUCCGCAAUGGACGAAAGUCUGGCGGAGCAACGCCGCGUGAGUGAUGAAGGCUUUCGGGUCGUAAAACUCUGUUGUUAGGGAAGAACAAGUGCUAGUUGAAUAAGCUGGCACCUUGACGGUACCUAACCAGAAAGCCACGGCUAACUACGUGCCAGCAGCCGCAGUAA
rnacentral:rRNA from 1 species